rnacentral:lncRNA from 1 species
UCUUUUCCCAAUUUGCACGGCGUAUAAGGUGCAGACAAAAGAUUUCGACAUCUGUAGAAGGAUGUUCAAGUCCAGUAACCAAGUAAGAUUCAAUUCCAAACUUUUUCAAAUCGGCCCAACUCAUUGGCUCAAGCAGCUUACCCAAAGCCUUCAUAAUCGGCUCGGUAGGUAUUGGAAGCUCAAAACAACUAAGUAUGGUAUCCAAGAGUCCUAAGCAUGAUGGCCUUGUAGCAGGCGUUAUACUUUCACGGAACGCAUCUAUGGCAUCAGGGAUUUCACGAACGAUAACCGACGGGUUUGAAGGGAGAUCUUUCAAUAACUGUAAUAGUCUUCUACCGGGUCCUGGUAAGCCUGGUAUGAGUUCUAUACUAUCCAUUUGGCUUGUUUUUAACAGAUCCCGUAUAUUGGCGAUGGAUCGGCUGAAAUCAGGCAAGAGGCAAUUUUAUCUCGUUUAAGUAAGCUUAAUUUUAACCGAGCAACCGAAUAUCAAGGAAAUACACAUACAAAGAAAAGGGUAUCAAACACCUUUGCAUUCUUGGUUUACGACUAUAACUGUAGGGGUGGAAAACAAAGAAACACUUAAUCAAAAUUACGCAUUAAUCUACUUCACGAACUAACCAUUUUUUUUAAAUGAGUGCCUACUAUUUUGUUUGAGAGCCUAUGGCUUGUGCAAGAAAAAAAAACUCAUUUAACAUAAUGGGUAUUUUUGCAAAAAAGCUAGUUAAUAUUAUGAGAAGGGGAAUGAUUUUCGUAAAAAGUAAGUUGAGAGAAGAUAAAAGAGAAGGAUGGAUAAAGAGCAUGAAAAAGGAUAAAGAGCAACAACUGAUGAUCCAAUAUUAACGGACCAACAAGUAGAGUGGUAAAAAAUUAUACUUUCUUAGCUGAAAUCAUUAAUUCAGGGCGAACCCAUUCAUCGAAUUGCUCGGGGGUACCGAAACCCAAAGUAACAAACUCGUGCUUGAGAGUGCUCUUAUUUUUAAGAGCAGUCUUGGCAAUCUUGGCACAGUUAUCAUAACCGAUGUGAGGAUUUAACGCAGUAACAAGCAUCAAGGAAUCACGAAGAUGACGGGCAAUACCUUCGUAAUUUGGCUCAAUGCCGACAACGCAAUGAUCAGUAAAAGACUCGCAAGCAUCCCCUAAAAGACGAAUACUGCUUAGAAUGUUCUUUGCUAAAAGAGGUUUAAAAACAUUGAGUUCACAGUGUCCGGAGGCACCAGCGACAGUAAUAGUGGCAUGAUUGCCCAUUACUUGAGCACAAACCAUUGUUAAGGCUUCACAUUGGGUGGGGUUUACUUUGCCUGGCAUGAUUGAACUUCCAGGUUCAUUAGCAGGAAGGAUCAAUUCGCCUAAACCACAACGAGGGCCAGAACCAAGUUGACGAAUAUCGUUAGCAAUUUUCAUAAGAGAACAAGCAAUAACAUUUAAAGCACCACUCAUCUCCACAAUCGCAUCAUGGGCUGCAAGAGCCUCAAACUUGUUAGGGGCGGUCUUAAACUCAAUAUUUGUAAGCUUUGAAACCUUCUCAGCAACCUUCACGUCAAAUCCUUCAAAAGUAUUUAGUCCAGUACCCACGGCAGUACCACCUUGAGCGAGAAGACAAAGACGAGGAAGAGCGUUGUUUAUGCGCUCAAUGCCAUAACCAACCUGAGUAACAUAGCCGGAAAAUUCUUGACCUAAAGAAAGAGGAGUGGCAUCUUGCAUGUGGGUUCGACCGAUUUUGAUAAUGUUCUUAAACUCCUCUUCCUUACCCUUCAAGGCCCGGUGGAGGUGCUUCAUGGCAGGAAGUAAAUGAGUGUGAAUUUGCAAAACAGAGGCAAUAUGCAUAACAGUGGGGAAAGUGUCGUUAGAAGAUUGAGACAUGUUAACGUGAUCGUUUGGAUGAACGGGCUUUUUCGAACCUAACGUACCACCAAGGAUUUCUAUGGCACGAUUAGCGAUUACCUCGUUACUGUUCAUAUUGGAUUGGGUGCCCGAGCCAGUUUGGAAAACAACCAAGGGGAAGUUAUCAUCCAAACGACCAUCAAUGACUUCUUGGGCAGCCUGUUCAAUGGCAUCUGCAAGUUUGGGAUCCAAACCGAAUUCACGAUUAACAGAAGCAGCCGCACGCUUUAAAACUCCAAAUGCGCGAACUAAGGGAAGAGGAAGUCGCUCUUUUUCACCACCAAUUCGAAAGUUUUGAAGAGAACGCUGAGUUUGAGCACCCCAAUACUUUUCUGCAGGGACUUGUAUGGGACCAAAGGUGUCAGAUUCCUGUCGGAACUCGCCAUGCUUACCGCCUUUGGGAAUGAGAUGAUAAGUCGGAGUAGUGGAAUUCAUUCUAUGAGUUUUUAGAGGUAACUAAAAAAUAAAAAGUUAGUGUCAUACGCAAAUUGCAUAAAUCAAUAGAGUAAAGCGAAAUAGAUGUGACUCAACCGCUGCAUCUUGCUGAAACCGCGAAAGCUGGAACUCUGUGCCACGCCAUUGUUCAUUCGCAAGAGUAGAUGGAACCAACGAAAGAAACAGAA